UAUGUUUUAUGUUUUUAGGGUUGGUUGACGGAGACUCCUAUAUAGUUAUUUUACUACCACGCAGUACACCGUUUUCCUUUAAAAGAUAGAUGAAUGCAACGAAUCUGAGCCAUCCAACUUAGUGGCAGCCCUCCACUCAUUUCGUUAUGAUUUUCUUUUCUUUCCUUAGUCUAUCAUAUUUCUUAUUACCCAGAUCUGUUUUGCAUUCACCAACUCAUUAGACACUUACAAAGUCAAAUUUUCGUAAUCUUUUACAAGAAAUUAGACCUGGUUUUCUGAAUUUGUUUGCUUUUAAGUUCAAAUUAACUCUUAUUUGAUUCGAUUUGUUGGAAAGCAUCUGGAUUUCAUUGAAUUUGAUUUCCUGUAAAAAGCAACAAAUCUCAGAUCUGAGUUCGAUGACUUAUGUUGCUAAUAAGAGUUCUGGUUUUGUUCUAUAUAUGGUAAAUGGGUGCAGAUUUGACCUUUUUGUUUUAGAUGUAGACAUGCACAUCCUUGAUGUAAAUAUAUAUCUCGAUGUGUUCUUGAGUUUCAGAAUUACAGAUAUCCGUAUAUUUCAAGAAUUUCUAAGAAUUUGUCAUUCUGGACGGGUUCUCUUGAAAUGCGUUACGACGAAUACAAAAUAAAAUACAUAAUCUAAAGGGCAUGAAUCAAAGUGUAUCAAAGAAAUUAAUUAAAGUAUAUCAAAGAAAUUAAAAUGCUAAGUGGAUAUGAAGACGAUGAAAAUAAAGAUUUGUGGCUAAUUAAUUUGAAUCGAGGUGUAUCAAAGAAAUUAUUGAAAGAGUAGCAAGAAAGAAAUGUAAUUUUUUUUGAACUAUAGAAGAAAGCUAAUUAUGUAUAGCUUGAUUUUUUGUUGGAUUUGUUUUAUUUCACAAAUUAUGUAUUCUGCUACUUUUAAAUCAUUUUAAAUUCUGUUAUGUUUAUUUUGUGUAGUUAUUUUA